AUUGAACGCUGGCGGCAUGCUUUACACAUGCAAGUCGAACGGUAACAGGCCGCAAGGUGCUGACGAGUGGCGAACGGGUGAGUAAUGCAUCGGAACGUGCCCAGUCGUGGGGGAUAACGCAGCGAAAGCUGCGCUAAUACCGCAUACGAUCUAUGGAUGAAAGCGGGGGACCGUAAGGCCUCGCGCGAUUGGAGCGGUCGAUGUCAGAUUAGGUAGUUGGUGGGGUAAAGGCUCACCAAGCCAACGAUCUGUAGUUGGUCUGAGAGGACGACCAGCCACACUGGGACUGAGACACGGCCCAGACUCCUACGGGAGGCAGCAGUGGGGAAUUUUGGACAAUGGGCGCAAGCCUGAUCCAGCAAUGCCGCGUGCAGGAAGAAGGCCUUCGGGUUGUAAACUGCUUUUGUACGGAACGAAACGGCUCUGGUUAAUACCUGGGGCUAAUGACGGUACCGUAAGAAUAAGCACCGGCUAACUACGUGCCAGCCGCCGCGGUAAUAC
rnacentral:rRNA from 1 species